rnacentral:misc_RNA from 1 species
CUUCCAGCAGCCAUAUUCCUGACUGCCAUAACUACAUGGACACCACGUAAUGCAAGUACCCUUGAAGUUUCAGUGCCAAUACCGCUAGACGCUCCUGUAACAAUGGCAGUGAGACCAGAGGCGUCGAUCCCGUGAGUAACUUCCUCCGCUGUGGAAGAUGAUGAGAACCCAGAUGGUCCUUUCCUGCUAAACGGCCACAUUCUGUCUCUGAUUCUCCGGCUCUCGCAGUAAACCGCCGACAGGAAAACGAGUGGUAGUUAUU